rnacentral:rRNA from 1 species
UACGAGGGGGGCAAAUGUUGUUCGGAAUCACUGGGCGUAAAGGGAGCGUAGGCGGGCUUUUAAGUUAGGUGUUUAAUCCCGGGGCCCAACCCCGGACAGGCACCUAAAACUGGGAGUCUUGAAUAGUGGAGAGGACGGCGGAAUUGGGGGUGUAGCGGUGGAAUGCGUAGAGAUCCGCAAGAACACCAGUUGCGAAGGCGGCAGUCUGGACACAUAUUGACGCUGAGGCUCGAAAGCAUGGGGAGCAAACAGG